GGCGCUCUGCGCCUCACGACAGGAGAGACAUAUUCCCCGGGGCCUUAAUAAUCCCUUAGGGAGCUGUCCCUGGAGAGGCCCGUGGGCUUCUUCACACGGCACCCACCUACUUUGUAGGUUCCCGGGAUCGACUUCUCCAUCGGUUGUGUGGACGCCA
rnacentral:other from 1 species